GGCCUUAUACUGCAAGUCGAACGGUAACAUUGGUGCUUGCACCAGAUGACGAGUGGCGCACGGGUGCGUAACGCGUAUGCAACCUACCUUUUACUAGAGUAUAGCCCAGAGAAAUUUGGAUUAAUCCUCUAUAACAUCUUAUAAUUUCAUGAUUAUUAGAUUAAAGUUUUAAUGGUAAAAGAUGGGCAUGCGUCCUAUUAGUUUGUAGGUGAGGUAACGGCUCACCUAGACUACGAUAGGUAGGGGCCCUGAGAGGGGGAUCCCCCACACUGGUACUGAGACACGGACCAGACUCCUACGGGAGGCAGCAGUAAGGAAUAUUGGACAAUGGACGAAAGUCUGAUCCAGCCAUGCCGCGUGCAGGAUGAAAGCCCUAUGGGUUGUAAACUGCUUUUAUACAGGAAGAAAAACUCCGACGUGUCGGAGCUUGACGGUACUGUAAGAAUAAGGAUCGG
rnacentral:rRNA from 1 species